GGAUACCUGUAAAGAGAAAAGUCUCAUAUUCUCCUACAGAAAGUUUACAGUGUGAUAGAAUGCAUGAAAUACGCCAAUGAUGCGUAUUCCAUUCGUUGCAACGGGAUUGUAUUAUAUGUUACUUUCUCUGAACAUAAAGGCACAGAUUUAGACAAUGAUUGUCUUUAAACCUCUUUUUAUGUAUUGUUUCAUUUCCUGCUUCUUAAGAUUCUCUGCUACAUUAGACACUCUCACUCCAAGCCAUUCCAUUAGAGAUGGUGAGACUUUAGUUUCCCCUGGUAGAACCUUUGAACUGGGAUUCUUCAGUCUAGGUAAUUCAAAAGGCCGAUACUUGGGAAUAUGGUAUGGAAUGUCUACUGAUGCAAUUGUUUGGGUAGCUAAUAGGGAGACUCCACUUGACAAUAACUCAGGAGUUUUGAAGAUUACCCAUGAAGGAGAUAUUGUUCUUCUCAGCAACACAAGUAGUAUUGUUUGGUCAUCGAAUAUGUCAAGAACUGCAUCCAGUCCAGUUGUACAGCUCUUGGAUUCAGGAAAUCUUGUUGUGAAAGAUGGAAAUGAUAAUAACUUGGAGAACUUUUUGUGGCAGAGUUUUGAUUAUCCUUGCAACACAUUGAUUCCAGGAAUGAAGAUGGGAAAGAACUUUGUAACAGGCCAGGACUGGUUUUUAACAUCUUGGAAGAGCACUGAAGAUCCUGCUAAAGGUGAGUUUUCCUUAAGGAUAGAUACUCAUGGGCUUCCACAGCUAGUUUCUAUGAGGGGAGAUAAAAUAAAGACUAGAGCAGGGUCAUGGAAUGGCGUUGGUUAUACAGGACGUCCUGCGUUAAUACCGAAUCCAGUAUAUGAGUCUAAAUUUGUGUUGAAUGAGAUCGAAGUAUAUUACCAGUUCAGACUCGUGAACAGUUCAAUCUUUUCAAGACUUGUAUUUAACCCAUCAGGGACUGCAGGACGCUUCACGUGGAUGGAUCGGACACACAGUUGGGAGCUCUUUGCUACAUCCCAGGUAGAUCAGUGUGAAAGUUAUGCCUACUGUGGUGCAGACGCUAUCUGCAAUGCCAAUGUCUCUCCAGUAUGUGCAUGCUUGGAAGGAUUUGUGUCCAAAUCUCCAAAAAAAUGGUAUUCAGUAGAUUGGUCUGAUGGUUGUGUUCGAAGGACUAAAUUAAAAUGCAAUGGAGAUGGCUUUCAAAAAUACACGAAUGUGAAAUUGCCUGACACAUCUUCUUCCUGGUUUAAUAGGACCAUGAGCCUCAAGGAAUGUGAGGGAUUGUGUUUGGAAAACUGUUCUUGCACGGCAUAUUCAAAUUUAGAUAUCAGCAGAGAAGGAGGUGGCUGUGUGCUUUGGUUUGGUAUCUUGAAUGAUAUGAAAGUAUCCUCCCAGGGUGGGCAAGACCUAUAUAUAAGACUGGCCAACUACAAACAAGAUAAUACUACAAAAAACAGGGUCUCCAGCAAGAUAAGACAAGCAGGAAUCAUAGUUGCCUCUUCAAUGCUAGUCAUUGGAUUGAUGUCAUAUGUGUGGAAGAAGAAACUUAGUUUCAAAGGAAUCACAAGGAAAGAUUACAACAAUGAAGGUGGGAAUGAAGAUAUGGAGUUACCCAUAUUUGAUAUGAUGGCCAUAGCAAAUGCCACCUGCAACUUUUCAAGCAACAACAAGUUGGGAGAAGGUGGUUUUGGACCUGUAUAUAAGGGGACACUGAAUGGGGGGCAAACGGUAGCUAUAAAGAGGCUAUCUAAUAAUUCGAGACAAGGAUUGAAUGAAUUCCAAAAUGAAGUUCUAUCAAUUGCUAAACUACAACACCGCAAUCUUGUAAAGCUUCUCGGUUGUUGCAUUCAAGGAAAUGAGAAAAUGUUAAUCUAUGAAUAUAUGCCUAACAAAAGCUUGGACACCUUUAUUUUUGAUCAUACAAGAAGCACAUUACUAGAUUGGCAUAACCGCAUCCACAUUAUUUGUGGCAUUGCCAGGGGACUUCUCUAUCUUCAUCAAGACUCUAGACUCAGAAUUAUCCAUAGAGAUCUCAAAGCAAGCAAUAUCCUGCUAGAUGAUAAUAUGAAUCCAAAAAUUUCAGACUUUGGUUUGGCUAGAACAUUUGGGGGAGAUCAAACUGAGGCCAAAACCAAAAGAAUUGUUGGAACGUAUGGUUAUAUGUCUCCUGAGUAUGCGGGGCACGGAAAGUUCUCAAUCAAGUCCGAUGUCUUUAGCAUUGGAGUCUUAGUGUUAGAGAUAGUGAGCUGAAAAAGGAACCAGGGAUUUUGUCACUCAGACGACCACCUCAAUCUUCUUGGUUAUGCCUGGAGAUUAUGGAUGGAAGAUAAGGCAAUGGAAUUGAUCGAUAAAUCAUUAUGCGACAUGUGCACUUUAUCUGAUCAAGUUCUACGAUGCAUUCAUGUGGGAUUGUUAUGUGUGCAACAAAGACCAGAAGAUAGACCAGAUGUGUCAUCUGUGAUUCAAAUGUUAAGCAGUGAGAUUUCAUUGCCUAAGCCUAGUCAGCCAGGUUUCUAUAUGGAAAAGACUCUACCAACAAAGCAUGAACCAUAUUCAGUCAAUGAAAUUACUAUCACAUUAGAAAAGGGACGGUAAAAUGCAUACUAUGAGACAAUGAUUGUCUUUAAACCUCUUUUUGUGUACUGUUUCUUAUCCUGCUUCUUAAGAUUCUCUGCUACAUUAGACACUCUCACUCCAAGCCAUUCCAUCAGAGAUGGUGAGACUUUAGUUUCCUCUGGUGGAAGCUUUGAACUGGGAUUCUUCAGUCUAGGUGAUUUGAAAGGCCGAUACUUGGGAAUAUGGUAUAGGAUAUCUACUGAUGCAGUUGUUUGGGUAGCUAACAGAGAGACUCCACUUUCCAAUAACUCAGGAAUUUUGAAGAUUACUGACAAAGGAGAUAUUGUUCUUCUCAACAACAAUAGUAUUGUUUGGUCAUCAAAUACAUCAAGAGCUGCAGACAGUCCAGUCGUACAGCUUUUGGAUUCAGGAAAUCUUGUUGUGAAAGAUGGAAGUGGCAAUAACUUGGAGAACUUUUUGUUUUUAACAUCUUGGAAGAGCACAGAAGAUCCUGCUAAAGGUGAGUUUUCCUUACGGAUAGAUACUCAUGGGCUUCCACAGCUAGUUGCUAUGAAGGAAGAUAAAAUAAAGGAUAGAGCAGGGCCAUGGAAUGGCCUUACUUUUACUGGAAAUCCUCGGUUAAAACCGAAUCCAAUAUUUAAGUAUGAAUUUGUGUUGAAUGAGAAUGAGGUAUAUUAUGAGUACACACUCAUAGAAAGUUCAGUCUUUUCAAGAUUUGUAAUUUACCCAUCAGGUGUCAUGGGACGCCUUGUGUGGAGGGAUCAGACUCACAGCUGGGAGACCUACUCUACAUCCCAGGUAGAUCAGUGUGAAAAUUAUGCCUACUGUGGUGCAUAUGCUAUCUGCAAUGCCAAUGGCUCCCCAGUAUGUGAAUGCUUGGAAGGAUUUGUGUCCAGAUCUCCAAAAGAUUGGAAUUCAGUAGAUUGGUCUGAUGGUUGUGUACGAAGGACUCAAUUGGAAUGCAAUGGAGAUGGCUUCCUGAAAUACACGAAUUUGAAAUUGCCUGACACAUCUUCUUCCUGGUUUAAUAGGACCAUGAGCCUCAAGGAAUGUGAGGGAUUGUGUUUGAAAAACUGUUCUUGCACGGCAUAUUCAAAUUUAGAUAUCAGCGGAGAAGGAAGUGGCUGCUUGCUUUGGUUUGGUAUCUUGAAUGAUAUGAAAGUAUUCUCCCAGGAUGGGCAAGACCUAUAUAUAAGGCUGACCAACUCCGAACUAGAUAAUAUUACAAAAAAAAGGCACUCCAGCAGGAUACGAAAAGAAGCAAUCAUAUUCGCCUCUUCAACACUAGUAAUGGGAAUUCUUAUACUUGGAGCGAUCUCAUAUGUGUGGAAGAAGAAACUGAGUUUCAAAGGAAUCACAAGGAAAGAUUACAACAAUGAAGGUGGGAAUGAAGAUAUGGAGUUACCCAUAUUUGAUAUGACAGACAUAGCUAAUGCCACCUGUAACUUUUCAAGCAACAACAAGUUGGGAGAAGGUGGUUUUGGACCUGUAUAUAGGGGUACACUGAAGGGAGGACAAGUGGUAGCUGUAAAGAGGCUAUCUAAGAAUUCGGGACAAGGAUUGGACGAGUUCAAAAAUGAAGUUUUUUCAAUUGCUAAACUGCAACACCGCAAUCUUGUGAAGCUUCUUGGUUGUUGCAUUCAAGAAAAUGAGAAAAUGUUAAUCUAUGAAUACAUGCCUAACAAAAGCCUGGACACCUUUAUUUUUGAUCAUACAAGAAGCACAUUACUAGAUUGGCAUAACCGCAUCCGCAUUAUUUGUGGCAUUGCUAGGGGACUUCUCUAUCUUCAUCAAGACUCUAGACUCAGAAUUAUCCAUCGAGAUCUCAAAGCAAGCAACAUCCUGCUAGAUGAUAGCAUGAAUCCAAAAAUUUCAGACUUUGGCUUGGCUAGAACAUUUGGGGGAGAUCAAACUGAGGACAAAACCAAAAGAAUUGUUGGAACGUAUGGCUACAUGUCUCCUGAGUAUGCGGGGCAUGGAAAGUUCUCAAUCAAGUCUGACGUCUUUAGCUUUGGAGUUUUAGUGUUAGAGAUAGUAAGUGGGAAAAGGAACCAGGGCUUUUGUCACUCAGACGACCACCUCAAUCUUCUUGGACAUGCCUGGAGAUUAUGGAUUGAAGAUAAGGCAACAGAAUUGAUCGAUAAAUCUUUAGGCAACAAGUGCACCUUAUCUGAUCAACUGCUUCGAUGCAUUCAUGUGGGCUUGUUGUGUGUGCAACAAAGACCAGAAGAUAGGCCAGAUAUGUCAUCUGUGGUUCUGAUGUUAAGCAGUGAGAGUUUAUUGCCAAAACCCAGACAACCAGGUUUCUAUAUGGAAAAGGCCCUACCUGAAGCAGAUUCUUCAUCAACAAAGCUUGAACCAUGUUCAACCAAUGAAAUUAGCAUCACAAUGUUAAUGGGACGGUAAAAUGUCAUCACAUUGUUCAAGAUUAAAACCACUUUAGUUUAUAUUAAGGGAGCUCUUUAUCUAAUGUUUCUCAGCUAUCUAAUUAGAUUUUAAAUGGAACUAUAUACCAUGUCUCAAACUGAACGUU